CCUACGGGUGGCUGCAGUGGGGAAUAUUGCACAAUGGGGGAAACCCUGAUGCAGCGACGCCGCGUGAGUGAAGAAGUAAUUCGUUAUGUAAAGCUCUAUCAGCAGGGAAGAAAAUGACGGUACCUGAGUAAGAAGCCCCGGCUAACUACGUGCCAGCAGCCGCGGUAAUACGUAGGUGGCAAGCGUUGUCCGGAUUUACUGGGUGUAAAGGGCGUGCAGCCGGAGAGGCAAGUCAGAUGUGAAAUCCGCGGGCUCAACUCGCGAACUGCAUUUGAAACUGCUUCCCUUGAGUAUCGGAGAGGUAAUCGGAAUUCCUAGUGUAGCGGUGAAAUGCGUAGAUAUUAGGAAGAACACCAGUGGCGAAGGCGGAUUACCGGACGACAACUGACGGUGAGGCGCGAAAGCGUGGGGAGCAAACAGGAUUAGAUACCCGAGUAGUC
rnacentral:rRNA from 1 species